CACGUAGGGUCCGAGCGUUGUCCGGAAUUACUGGGCGUAAAGCGUGCGCAGGCGGUUGGGUCAGUCGCUGGUGAAAGCCCCACGCUCAACGUGGGAAUGGCCAACGAGACGGCCCGACUGGAGGCAGGGAGAGGCCGGUGGAAUUCCGGGUGUAGUGGUGAAAUGCGUAGAGAUCCGGAGGAACACCAGAGGCGAAGGCGGCCGGCUGGAUCUGACCUGACGCUGAGGCACGAAGGCGUGGGGAGCGAACGGG
rnacentral:rRNA from 1 species